GACGAACGCUGGCGGCAUGCCUAAUACAUGCAAGUCGAGCGAACAAACUUUGGAGCUUGCUCCUUAGUUUUGUUAGCGGCGGAUGGGUGAGUAACACGUGGGCAACCUGCCCUACAGAUGGGGGAUAACUCCGGGAAACCGGGGCUAAUACCGAAUAAUUAGUUUGUCCGCAUGGACGAGCUCUGAAAGACGGUUUCGGCUGUCACUGUAGGAUGGGCCCGCGGCGCAUUAGCUAGUUGGUGGGGUAAUGGCUCACCAAGGCAACGAUGCGUAGCCGACCUGAGAGGGUGAUCGGCCACACUGGGACUGAGACACGGCCCAGACUCCUACGGGUGGCAG
rnacentral:rRNA from 1 species